rnacentral:tRNA from 1 species
GAGGCUGUAGCUCCAUGGUUAGAGCACAUGCUUAGCAUGCAUGAGGUUCUGGGUUCAAUCCCCAGCACCCUCA